ensembl:lncRNA
GAACUGUUCCGGUUGUUUUCAGUCUUUGUGUGUCUCCACCAGACAGAACUGUUCCGGUUGUUUUCAGUCUUUGUGUGUCUCCACCAGACAGAACUGUUCCGGUUGUUUUCAGUCUUUGUGUGUCUACACCAGACAACUGUUCCGGUUGUUUUCAGUCUUUGUGUGUCUACACCAGACAGAACUGUUCCGGUUGUUUUCAGUCUUUGUGUGUCUACACCAGACAACUGUUCCGGUUGUUUUCAGUCUUUGUGUGUCUACACCAGACAGAACUGUUCCGGUUGUUUUCAGUCUUUGUGUGUCUACACCAGACAGAACUGUUCCGGUUGUUUUCAGUCUUUGUGUGUCUACACCAGACAGAACUGUUCCGGUUGUUUUCAGUCUUUGUGUGUCUCCACCAGACAGAACUGUUCCGGUUGUUUUCAGUCUUUGUGUGUCUACACCAGACAGAACUGUUCCGGUUGUUUUCAGUCUUUGUGUGUCUCCACCAGACAACUGUUCCGGUUGUUUUGUUAUUCAGUGUUCCAUUUUGAUUAUAUUAAAAAUCAUGAACACUUACCCACGCUGCACCUUGGUCCUCACCUUCUUCCACCACCGAUGGCCGUUACAACAUGACUGGAGACUUUGACAGAAUAUGUUUUAAUGUGGAGGUGAAAGAAGCGCACACCUGUUUAAGAGAGGUGAUGUCUAGCAGAGUAGAACACCUGUUUAAGAGAGGUGAUGUCUAACAGAGUAGAACACCUGUUUAAGAGAGGUGAUGUCUAGUGGAGUAGAACACCUGUUUAAGAGAGGUGAUGUCUAACAGAGUAGAACACCUGUUUAAGAGAGGUGAUGUCUAGUGGAGUAGAACACCUGUUUAAGAGAGGUGAUGUCUAGCAGAG